UCAAGUUUGCAAGCGGAAGCACGCGUCGAUGCGUGCUCGUUUUUCCUCUCGUGAAACCAGCACGGAAAAAACUAUCUGCAAAUCGUAACACACGCACAAACGGAAGUGAGCACGGACCACGAUAGAAUUAAUCAAGUGGUUGUGCCAAAAACAAAAGGACAGGAGAGGCAGGAACGAUCAUUCAACGCGUUAGCGCCGGAUGCAGGAGAAACGGCAGGAAGGCAGGAACGAUCAUUCAACGUGCUAGCGCCUGGUAGCGGAGAGGCGGCAGGAAAGUAGGGACGAUCAUCCAGCACGCUAGCGCA